GAUGAUGAAGUAGAAGAAGCAGCUCCCCCUUCAUGUUCAUGGUAAUCGAUGGGCAGACACGGCUGCAUGCGGUUGCUGGGGGUAGGUAGUCAAUGGCAGCUGGCGAUUGAUGAGGAGGUGGGUGGAGGUGGAGAAGAGGGAGCAGUCGUGAUGGGCUGAAGGAGAGCCCUGAUUAGCAUGGAUGGAGAGAAAGAGAGCGCCGUGCUGCCUAGAAACGCUCAGCUGAAAAACAGCCAUGCCGCAGACAAGUGUUUCGGCUACAACAGCCCGGGCUAACACACACUGGGUGGCUACGAGAUUGGUAGGCGAUGGGCAAAGCUUAUAUUUGCUCUUUGUUCAUAGUGCUCCUUCAACAUCAUUGACAUAUCAAUUUGCAAAUGUUUAUGCAAAGCCUCUAUAAAAACCAGCUCUGCUCUCUUUUGGGGUUUUUCACUUUGUGAAAGUGUGACGCACUCUCCUCAGCACCAACGGUUCGAUCCAGGGAAGGCUCCCCACUGGUGCAGAACACAGAGUUCUUGGAGGGUGUGUUUACAGAGAGGAUGGGAAUGCGGGAAACAUGACCGCAUCCUGAAUCUGUCUCCCCUGGUCCCCCUGGACUCAACACUGUGAGACCAGCUGGAAUCCUGUCUCCCCGGUGACCCAACAGUGUGACGAACCACGAGCCAUCACCAUGACGAUGACACCAGCAGGAAGUGGGAUGCGUCUUAGGGCUGACUUCCUGCUCCUUCUUUUUGGCCCAUAGUCAUCCCAUAGACCACCAAGUUGGAGCAGCCUACACUUUGUAGCUAAGUUGGUAGAGCAUGGCACUUCUAACGCCAGGACAGUGGUUUUGAUUCCCGGGACCACCCAUAUGUACAAUAUAUGCACGCGUGCCUGUAACUCGCUUUGGAUAAACGCAUCUGCUAAAUGGCACAUUAUUAUUAUUAUUAUAGUAUUACACUCCAGAUGUCACUGUGGCAGAACCCUUUGAAGAACCCUUUGUGUUCCAAGUUUAAGCCUCUGUGGAAAGGGUUCUACAUGGAACCCAAAAGGGUUCUUCAAGGGGUUCUACCAUGGGGAUAGCCCAGUGGGGAACAGUUAGGGCCUUCUAUGCCUAAGGCCUAAGGAUUUAUAAAAUAAGUGUAGUUUUUAAAUGUAAAUAUCCUUUUCAUUUCUAUGUUAUCUUUUCAAUAAUAUUUCAAUGAUAUUCUAAUUAUAUUAUUAUUUUCAAUGAUAUUCUGAUCUAAUCUCUUUUGUUUGCUGAAGAGAAAAAAAAGAUUGAAUCAGGAUUUUUCUUUGGCGGUCUCUGGGGUGAUAAAUCUGGCUAGCUAAGUGAGCCAUUGGCUAGGCCCUCAGAAGUUAGAUUAAAGGUGUCUGCCAUUCAAAUGUAUUAGGGCAGAAGCGACUCGAAAGAGUCGGAGGUUCACUCCAAAAACUCUAGUCUGCACUCAACUCCGCGGAUGUAAUAUUGUGGUGUUGAGAUAUACUGUACUUGGCUAGGAUAACACCUACUGCAGCUGGUAGCUAGCUAGACUGUGGGAAAACUACUAUUCGCUAUUGCGCAGUGACCUGUCGGCCUUUGAGAAGGUGGACGAUUCCAUACGUUUUUGUCCUGUCCCACCAAUUACAAGUCAAAAUGUGAUUGGUUAAUUCCACUGUCACUCCAAAAUUCUGCCCUAAUAUAGUUGAAUGGCAGAUGCCUUCUAUCUACAGUACAGUGACUUCAGAAAGUAUUCAUACACCUUGACUAAUACCCCAUAAUGACAAAAUGAAAACAUGUUUUUGUCAUCUUUUGCAAAUGUAUUGAAAUUGCUAAAAUAUCGCUAGAGAACCAUUUUUAAUUCUUGCCAUAGAUUUUCAAGCCAAUUUAAGUAAAAACUGUAACUCGGCACUCGGGAACAUUCAAGGUCCUCUUGGUAAGCAAUCAGUGUAUAUUUGGCCUUGUGUUUUAGAUUAUUGUCCCGCUGAAAGGUGAAUUCAUCUCCCAGUGUCUGGUUGAAAGCAGACUGAACCAGGUUUUCCUCUAGGAUUUUGACUGUGCUUAGCUCUGUUAAUUUCUUUUUUAUCCUGAAAUACUCCCCAGUCCUUAACAAUUACAAGUAUACCCAUAACAUGAUGCAGCCACCACUAUGCUUCGAAAUAUGGCGUGGUACUCAGUAAUGUGUUGUAUUGGAUUGGCCCCAAACAUAACACUUUGUAUUCAGGACAAAAAGUUACUUGCUUUGCCACAUUUUUUCCCCUAGUAUUACUUAAGUGCCUUGCUACAAACAGGAUGCAUGUUUUGGAAUAUUUGUAUUUUGUACAGGCUUCCUUCUUUUCGCUCUGUCAAUUAGGUUAGUGUUGUGGAGUAACUAUAAUGUUGUUGAUCCAUUCUCAGAGUUCUCCUAUCAUGACCAUUAAACUCUGUGACUGUUUUAAGGUCACCAUUGGCCUCAUCAUGAAAUCCCUUAGCGGUUUCCUUACUCUCCGGCAACUGAGUUAAGAAGGAUCCCUGUAUCUUUGUAGUGACUGGGUGUAUUGAUACACCAUCCAAAGUGUAAUUAAUAACUUCACCAUGCUCAAAGGGAUAUUCAAUGUCUGUUUUUUUGUUGUUGCCCAUCUUCUAGCAGUUGCUCUUCUUUGUGAGGCAUUGGAAAACCUCCCUGGUCUUUGUGGUUUAAUCUGUGUUUUAAAUUCACUGCUCAAUUUAGGGACCUUGCAGAUAGUUUUAUUAGUGGGGUAGAGAGAUAAGGUAGUCAUUCAAAAUUAUGUAUAGCACUAUUAGUGCACACAGAGUGAGUCAAUGCAAUUUCUUAUGUGACUUGUUAAGCGCAUUUUUUCUCCUGAAGAUAUUUAGGCUUGCCAUAACAAAGGGGUUGAAUACUUAUUCACUCAAGACAUUUCAGCUUUUAGUUUUUUAUUAAUUUGCCAACAUUUCUAAAAAUAUAUUUCCACUUUGACAUUAUGGGGUAUUGUGUGUAGGCCAGUGAUACAACAACUCAAUUUAAUCAAUUUUCAGGCUGUAACACAACAAAAUGUGAAAAAGUCAAGGGAUGUGAAUACUUUUUGAAGGCACUGUAGCUUCUGUUAGCCUAGCCAAUGGCUGACAUAGCUAGCUUGUGUUUUUGUAUUCUUACGAAUGGGACCUACUCUCUUAUGUCCCCGUGAAUGUGUUGCUUAUUCUUUAACAUCACGCUGUGUGUGACUGCUGUCUUUCCAUUGGCCCUAUGUGUUUUACAAAAAUGUGCACUCUCCUACAUGGAGUGCGCUGCAUAUUACGGUCGUUGUCCGUUCAGCAUCACAAGACUGUCACACUCACAUCCUUUGAUGUGUCACUGUUGUCGCUUUUGGUGAUAGUGGGAUAGUGAUGGCGUUAGGCUACCACAGGUUGUGAAAGCAGUGUGGUUGUUGUUGUAAAUGUAAAUGUAAAUGUAAUGUAAAUGUUGUUGCUGGUAGCAUUAUCCGUGCGGAUGCCAUAUCUGUGUAAGUGGCAGUCCGAAGCACAGCUCAGCCUCAGGCCUGUUUGAUUCAGUUGGGCGCAUUAAUACGUGAUGCUAUGUUUCUGUAAUUUCUCUUGAUUUUUGAGUUUGUUACAUGUUGUAAAAAAAAAAAUCACCCCACUAGGUCCAAUAGCCAUGGGUUGCCAUUGCGUAAAACCCUUUUAGGUUCUAGGUAGAACCUUUUUUUCUAAAAGUGUAGUGUCUGUCCUGAUGUUAAAUUGCUUCAAAGGUCUAUGCUAAUGCUAUUCUACAUUUGUACAAAAUUAUAUGACAUUUUGCCCAUUCAGUACAUUAGGUAAUUCAAUAGGAACCACCAAACUAGAUCACAAUGAAAUAAUUAAGCAAUUUGUAUUACUGGGUAAAGGAUCCAUUCUGAUACAGUGUAUGUGAUAUAAAUAGAAAAAUACAUUUUCUUUUAUAUGUAAAUCUUUUUUCAUAAAAUUAUUCCACAUUACAACUAUGUAAAGAGAAGUUAUCCUAGCUGGAGGUUCAGAUUUCAUGGAAUGGAUAUGAAUACGAAACCUUAGAUUAAAAUGUUUUACAUCUGGUGAAAAUAACCCAGUUUCCAUAACUACAGCGCUGUUAUCUUUUGCCAGUAUCCUCUCAACAGCACGUGUUGGGAAGCAAACCCGUGUGUUUUACAGAGGAUAUCACAAAAUACUGUGGCAAAGAAAAUGAUGAUUGUGUGAAUUGAAAAAGCGAGCGCAAUGAGACAGUAAUUCCAUACAGUAAGAGGUUAUCUGUAGCUCUGCAUGAAAAUUCACAAUAUCACACGCCACUGCUUUAAAUGUUUUCACUGUGUAUCACUGUGACAUAGUAAACAGAUUUUCAUAUGGAGGCCAACUAUAUUUUUCUUCAGAGAAAAAUUACUUAAUUCCAUCAGAGCAUAUGUUGAGACCAACAGCACGGAGAAAAACACACUAAAUGGAGUGUUGACUUUGACACAACACCCCAAAAGGGCCUUGGACCGUUUCGCAUGACAUCAUGAAGGAAAGCAAAAACAGACAUUGUUUUCACAUUUUCCUGAUCACAAUCUUAUCAGGCACACCUCUGACCAACCUGGACUCAAAUGAUUAUAUCACAUUUGGUAUGGUAUGUAUUAAUUUGUGGAUCCAUUUCAUAUGAUAUGUUAGGGAUUACUAUUCGUACGAUAUGUUAUGAAUUGCAAUUCGUACAAUAUGUUACAAAUUUGCAAUACAUAUGUUAUGAAUUCCCAUUUGUUGUGGCUAACGUUAGCUAGGUGGCUAACACUAACAUUAGCUAGGUUGCUAACGUUAGCUAGGCUAGGGGUUAGGGUUAGGAGUUAGGUUAAAGGGUUAAGGUUAGGGUUAGCUAACAUGCUAAGUAGUUGCAAAGUAGCUAAAAUAUACUAAGUGGUUGUUGCUAAUUAGCUAAAAUACUCAAGUUGUCCAUGAUGAGAUUCGAACAUGCAACCUUUGGUUUGCUAGACGUUCACAUUAUAUGGCAACCCAUCCACAUCAACCAACCACCCUCCUUUUGUUUGUGGGCUCUAUUUCUUUUAUGCCGACUGUUUUUCUUCGGCCCUGCGCCUCACUAAAGGAUGUGCGUUUGAUGACACUUUAAUACCAUACCAAACAUAAAAUAUUAUACUAAUUUGAGUGGCCAUGAUUUUCGUUUACUAUGUUAUGACUAGUCUAUGAGACCAGGCUGCUCUGACAGUGUGUCCUACUGUACCAUACAAAUUAAUGGCUUAAUUUGGGUAAAAGCUUACAGUAAUUUCAAGCUUGGGUUCCUCAGAGUAAUAUAGUAUACCAAUUAUCAUAUGCAUGACAAUCCCAAAUACAGUAGUAAUACACGACAAAGAUCAGUAUUCACAGUGUUAGUUAUUUCUGAUUGAUAUAGGACAACUGGGGUACACUAACACCUUGUCUUAUCACUGAGGAUAUCAAUCAAAUGAAAUGCCUCUGUAGAUUGUAUUUUAUAUCAGUGUCCAGCCAGUGAUUUGGUUUGUGGGAAAUGUGAAAUGAGAUUUCAGUUCUGAAUAAACAUGGGUUUAUGAUGCCAAUGAA